UGUAUUACAGUCUGCGCCUUCCUGCUUAAGAAUCUGAAAACAUAUUUUCUGGUUUAUAUUGAAACACAGGAAUCUUGAAUAUCUCUUCAGCUGAUUCCUAAUGUUUGUUCCACAGGAAGGGAGUUAGUUCGUAGCAUAGUGUGCUUUGUUGUAUCUGCAUCAGCAAAGCAGAUAAGCUCAGCCUCUCUUCAUCUGAAAAGGGAACAGAGGAGUAGCACCAGGAGACAGUGGAAUACUUCAGGACAUUGUGAAGAUUUCAAGCAACAAGACAACUUCCAGAAAUCACCUGGAACAAGGGUCAUCCCAAAACAAAAGCAAUUCAAGCAGCCUGUCUGAGAGGAAGAUGAGGAAGGAAGGAAGGAAGGAAGAAGGAAGGAGACUUAUUUCAUCUUCUGUACUGCGGAUCAUUUUGACAUCAUCCCGGAUUAUGCAAUAUACCAUGGCGGGGACUGUGAAGCAUGAGUUCAUCAAGAAAGGGCACUUUCAUUAGUGCUGCUGCAGUGUGUGUUCUCAGAUAUCUGAGGUGGAAAGGUCACAGCCACAGACUUCACAGCACCGCUCUUUGGCCUGUCUACACCCAUCCCUGGUUAUCUGGAGUUAUGGGGAAGCAAGGUUAAAUGCUUUCAUAGGAGGUCUGUGUUUAUCCUGGUGGCAUGCGAAGAAGAAUCCCAUUAAAUUAAGUAGCUCCCUUCUUAAGAAUGGCAAUUACUGUGAAGCACAGAUUAAAGUAAGAUUCCAU